rnacentral:rRNA from 1 species
AUUGAACGCUGGCGGCAGGCCUAACACAUGCAAGUCGAACGAGUGGCGGACGGGUGAGUAAUGUCUGGGAAACUGCCUGAUGGAGGGGGAUAACUACUGGAAACGGUAGCUAAUACCGCAUACCAUCAGAUGUGCCCAGAUGGGAUUAGCUUGUUGGUGGGGUAAAGGCUCACCUAGGCGACGAUCCCUAGCUGGUCUGAGAGGAUGACCAGCACAACUGGAACGGAGACACGGUCCAGACUCCUAAGGGAGGCAGCAGUGGGGAAUAUUGCACAAUGGGCGCAAGCCUGAUGCAGCCAUGCCGCGUGGAUGAAGAAGGCCUUCGGGUUUUAAAGUACUUUCAGCGGGGAGGCGGUACCCGCAGAAGAAGCACCGGCUAACUCCGUGCCAGCAGCCGCGGUAAUAC